UCAUGGUUUGGCGGAUACAGGGAUACUACUAAAACAACAAUAGCACACCAUAUUCACCCUCAUUCUCAUUCUUAAAAUUCUUCAUUUUUUCACUUUCUGCCACUAAUAUACGUAAUCCAGAAACUAUAUUCUAAAAUUCGUCAAUUUCAAGGCUUAUCUUAUUUGAUUGUACUUGUGCUGGGUUAAGAGCUAUAUGGCUAUGGCUAUGGCUUCUUCUGGUACUGUACUCUUGGGAUUCACAGCAAUUUGAAAGCCCUUGAGAUGCAACCCACAUCAAGUAUCUUCUUUGUCUAUCUUCCAAAUGUAUCUUCUUUAAUUUGUCAACUUGGAGAUUGCAGGUUCCGGAUGAUCUAUAUAUACUGAAAGCAAGGGAAAACAAAGUUAAUAAGAAAAUAUUAUAAAGCAAGUGCCUGUGGCUAGAACGAUAUAAUAGAUAUAUAUUUAAAUCUAUAAAAUAAUUUGCUUAAGUAGUUUUUUAAGAAUUAAUAAAUGAAACUAUGCAAGGAUUGGAGUAAUUUGUCCAUUAUAUUGCUAGCUUGAAUCUCCAUGUUCUACAGUUCAUUUUCUAUACUAAAUCAUUUUGUGUGUGUUUUUAAGUGGCUAUUCUCGCGGUAACUCUGAAAGCAACUUUAUGCCAGAUUGUCAUCUUCAGUCACUACAAUGAUUGUGAAAGCAUCAUCAGCCACAGCGGUGGAGGUAUUAUUCAACAUCAGAC
rnacentral:lncRNA from 1 species